rnacentral:lncRNA from 1 species
GCUAGCUGGGGGUGCCAACAGCGCUCCCAGAACUGGAGGACAAGAGCUCUUCAGCUCCCCAGGGGAACACAAGGAUGCCGCACAGUGACCACUGUGCCCCCAGUCAAUCGGCCCUGGUCACCUCUUCCUGGCCCCUGCUGCCAGCUUGCUGCACCUGUGCACAACCCGGGCAUUUGGGGGUGGCUUUCUGGUGUGGCCAAUCAUACCAGCUGACUGCAAAUCCCGCCUCUCCUCUUUCCUCGUUAACCACAGGAACACUCGGGAUGGCCGCCCUCGCAGCUAGAGGGGGCCCUGUGGCACAGCCCCUGAGACCCCCCAACGGAAGUCAGUGGCAGGGCCUGGGAUGUUUUCUUCUCCUGCCAUGGUUACAGUGGUCCAGCCUCCUGGAACCCAAGUGGCCACCAUGGGGAUGACAGCUCUACUCCAGGACGGCAGGGCACAGGGGUGGGUGCGGCAGCUGGGGUGUGUGCGGGAGUAGCAGAGUGGUGCCCCAUCAAGUGUCUGCAGCCGGGGCCCUGUUGCUCACAGGUGGGGGAGGCUGUCAGCUGGAGCACACCAGAACGACCGAUCACGCUGCCAUGUUGUUCUGGCCAGGGGCUGGUGCUGGCCGCCAGGCACAUGGUUCUGACGCACCUGGUUAUCUGCAAGUGCACGGGCUGUGCCGUGAGUCCUAGGUUAUGGGUCUUGGACUUGUGGAGCUGAUGAAAAGCUUACAAAGCAGGGAACGCUUUUUAAAGGGUGAGUGUGGAAGAGAUGGUGCAGGUACUUCUGGAAUUUCUCGCCUACGAAGGCAUAGAUGAUGGGGUUGACGCAGCAGUGGGUGUGGGUGAUCACCUCUGUCACCUGCCUGGCCAGGUCCAACUGCUUGCUGCUCUCACAGCUGCUCUCCAGGAAGAUCGCUUGAAAAGCAGAAAGAAAAAGAACCAGGUUGUAAGGUGCCCAGAAAAUGAAAAAGACCACCAUGAUGACAAAAAUGAGCCGGAUGGCUUUGUACUUUGUUUUGUUGGGGCACCUGAGCAGCGUUUUGAUGAUUCCGGUGUAGCAGAUGGUCAUGAUGAGCAGAGGCAGAGCGAGGCCCAGGAUAUUCAUCCUCAGGGCGUGGAAACGCUUCCAGCUGUCUUCCUCAUCCUCUGGGUACACGGGGCUGCACACAGCCUCCUCGGGCUCCCUUUGGAACUCAUGGAAGAUAAACUCGGGGAGGGCCGCCAGCCCUGCAAGGGCCCAGGUGACAAUGCUGGUGAUGACGCCAAAGGUGACUGUCCGGGCUCGAAGGGCAAACACGGCGUGGACGAUGGCCAGGUACCUGUCCAUCGUCAGCAGGAUGAUGAAGAAGAUCUCGCUGUACAUGCCCAGGGCAUACAGUCCCGGAGAGGAGCUUGCACAUGUGACUGUCAAACACCCACUCGUUCCACCUAACGUAGUGAAUCCAGAAUGGAGGUGAAGAGAAAGGAGCAAGUCCGAAAUCGUCAAGUUGAACAGGUAGAUGUUGG